ACUCCCAUGCAGCCUGCAGUCCUAAAGAGGCCAGACUCAUUCCCACCAUGUCCCCACAACAGCACCAACUCUAUUUCCAGGCAGCUGAUGGCCAGGGCUGAGAACCUGCUCCAGACCACCAGCUUCCCCAUUAAGAAAGCAAGCAGACUCAGUUUUUUGGCAUCACAGGGAGCCUGCAGCAGUGAUCCAUUUCCUUCAAAGGAUCUUAGGAGGCCUAGAAAGCUUAGGAUCCUAUGCAAAACCCUACUCUAACUCAUUUCAAGUGUCUGGAAAUGUAGUACAUGCCGUGGACUGACUUCAGUACUUUCUCUCACCUUUACUUCAUUCACAACCUAGAAGGAACUACAGGGAAACGAUGCAGUACUCCCAUCUGAAUUCAGCAUUGAAAGGUCUUUUGUUCCCUAUCUGAGAAUGAGAUGGAAAUCAUUCAAAAGGAAAUUAUGUGAAAACAGCUGCCUUAUAUCAAUUUGUGGCCAUGUGGAUUCUGGUUCUUGGUUCUCCGGAAGCCUCUCCACCUCUACUAUGCAAAGGCCUGCAUAGCCAUGAAGAACCCCGUGAACACACUCCAAGACUGAUUUCUACUUGCAUUAAGAAGGUCUGUGUUUCCCCUCUUGAAAGGUAGCUGGAUUCAAUAACUCGCUAAAUUAUAACACCUACAUAAGGAGCAAACUUUCCAGCCUAUGGGUGAGAGUUGAGGGUACUGACUGAUAUUGCUAUAGGUUAGUGUAGUGAUUGGGAGUGCAGUUUCUAAUCAGACUGGUUGGGUUUGAAUCUCUGCUCCAGCUCUUAUUAGCUAUGUGACUUCAGGCAAUUUAAUAAACUCCCUCUGAAAUAGAAUUAUAAAUAGUACCAGUAUCAAGGGAUUGUUAUGAGAAUUAAAUGUGAUAAUGUCUCUGGAGCACUUAGAACAGUUCCUAUUUCAUCAUCAGUGUUUAAUAAAUUCCAACACACUAU